CGGGUGAGUAACACGUGAGCAACCUGCCCCGAAGACCGGGAUAACAGUGGGAAACCGCUGCUAAUACCGGAUACCCCCACAGGGUCACAUGGCCUGGUGAGGAAAUGGAUUCCGCUUCGGGAGGGGCUCGCGGCCUAUCAGCUUGUUGGUGGGGUAACGGCCUACCAAGGCUUCGACGGGUAGCUGGUCUGAGAGGACGAUCAGCCACACUGGGACUGAGACACGGCCCAG
rnacentral:rRNA from 1 species